rnacentral:rRNA from 1 species
UACGGAGGAUGCAAGCGUUAUCCGGAAUGAUUGGGCGUAAAGCGUCCGCAGGUGGCAAUUCAAGUCGAUUGUCAAAGGUCCCGGCUCAACUGGGAACAGGCAGUGGAAACUGAACAGCUAGAGUGCGGUAGGGGUAGAGGGAAUUCCCGGUGUAGCGGUGAAAUGCGUAGAGAUCGGGAAGAACACCAGUGGCGAAAGCGCUCUACUAAGCCGCAACUGACACUCAGGGACGAAAGCUAGGGGAGCGAAUGGG